CCCUUAGAUGUUCUGGGCCGCACGCGCGCUACACUGAUGCAUUCAACGAGUCUAAAACCUGCUCUGAUAGGGGUGGGUAAUCUUUUGAAUGUGCAUCGUGAUUGGGAUAGAUGAUUGCAAUUUUUCAUCUUCAACGAGGAAUGCCUAGUAAACGCAAGUCAUCAGCUUGCAUUGAUUACGUCCCUGCCCUUUGUACACACCGCCCGUCGCUCCUACCGAUUGAAUGGUCCGGUGAAGCGUUUGGACUAUGGUUUUCUGACGGUUCGCCAUUGGAUUACCGUGGGAAAUUCGUUAAACCUUAUCAUUUAGAGGAAGGAGAAGUCGUAACA
rnacentral:rRNA from 1 species